CAAGACCAACCCUCUUCUUAGUUUGCUUGGUUGCUCUCUCUGGAAAAUUAAAUUCAAAGUUCGUAACAGCAAAUUAAAUGGCCUUGGAAGAUGGUGGCAAAUGGAAGAACGUUGCUCUCCUUGUCAUAGACAUGCAGAAAGACUUUAUAAGUGGCCCUGUGCAAGUAAAAGGAGGUCAAGCUAUCGUCCCCAAUGUUAUCAAGGCUGUUGAGGUUGCAAGAAACUGUGGCAUUCACAUCGUUUGGGUUGUACGAGAGCAUGAUCCAUUGGGGAGAGAUGUUGAAUUAUUCCGUCGACACUUUUAUACUGCUGGAAAAACAAAGGUGGCAUCAAAGGGAAGUGUGGGUGCUGAACUAGUUGAUGGGCUCGUUAUUGAGGAUGAUGAUUACAAGCUGGUCAAAACACGUUUCAGUGCAUUUCUUAACACUCACCUUCAUUCAUAUCUUCAGACCAACGGCAUAACUAGUUUGGUCAUCACUGGUGUCCAAACUCCAAAUUGCAUACGGCAAACUGUGUUUGAUGCAGUGUCAAUGGACUAUAAGCAUGUGACAGUUAUUACUGACGCCACAGCUGCUGCUACGCCUGAUGUACACACUGGAUUCUUGUGAUCUUGGGUUUUCCAUCAUUCCUCUUGAUUGCUAUAAGUUGGAUGGGCUCUCAAGUCCUUUCUGGAUGUUCCUGCUAUAUAGGUGGUUUCAGCUUUAUUACUCCCUAUGUCCCUUUGCUCAAUAUCUCUAGCCAACAUAUUUGACAUGAAAAACAUCGGAGUGGCGACCCCUACAUUAGAAGAAUGGUGCCGAUCUACAGAGCAAAUCAUUUAAACUCAGCAUAUCUAAUUUCCUUCAAGCAUGUGUGUAAUUCAAGUUUGAAUGCAUGUGAAAACAUGUGAAUUUUAUGGAAUUAAUAUCCAUAUCAAAUUUGGAUAAAUUCUUAAAGUCCAGAAAUAUAUAUUAAGCCCAAGUCAAAAUUAA